GACGAACGCUGGCGGCGUGCUUAACACAUGCAAGUCGAACGGAAAGGCCCUGCUUUUGUGGGGUGCUCGAGUGGCGAACGGGUGAGUAACACGUGAGUAACCUGCCCUUGACUUUGGGAUAACUUCAGGAAACUGGGGCUAAUACCGGAUAGGAGCUCCCGCUGCAUGGUGGGGGUUGGAAAGUUUCGGCGGUUGGGGAUGGACUCGCGGCUUAUCAGCUUGUUGGUGGGGUAGUGGCUUACCAAGGCUUUGACGGGUAGCCGGCCUGAGAGGGUGACCGGCCACAUUGGGACUGAGAUACGGCCCAGACUCCUACGGGAGGCAGCAGUGGGGAAUAGUGCACAAUGGGCGGAAGCCUGAUGCAGCAACGCCGCGUGCGGGAUGACGGCCUUCGGGUUGUAAACCGCUUUCGCCUGUGACGAAGCGUGAGUGACGGUAAUGGGUAAAGAAGCACCGGCUAACUACGUG
rnacentral:rRNA from 1 species